rnacentral:rRNA from 1 species
GAUGAACGCUGGCGGCGUGCCUAAUACAUGCAAGUCGAGCGAACAGACGAGGAGCUUGCUCCUCUGACGUUAGCGGCGGACGGGUGAGUAACACGUGGAUAACCUACCUAUAAGACUGGGAUAACUUCGGGAAACCGGAGCUAAUACCGGAUAAUAUAUUGAACCGCAUGGUUCAAUAGUGAAAGACGGUUUUGCUGUCACUUACAGAUGGAUCCGCGCCGCAUUAGCUAGUUGGUAAGGUAACGGCUUACCAAGGCGACGAUGCGUAGCCGACCUGAGAGGGUGAUCGGCCACACUGGAACUGAGACACGGUCCAGACUCCUACGGGAGGCAGCAGUAGGGAAUCUUCCGCAAUGGGCGAAAGCCUGACGGAGCAACGCCGCGUGAGUGAUGAAGGUCUUCGGAUCGUAAAACUCUGUUAUUAGGGAAGAACAAAUGUGUAAGUAACUAUGCACGUCUUGACGGUACCUAAUCAGAAAGCCACGGCUAACUACGUG